UCAUCCUCGCGUUUUCCUUUAUCCCCUGAUGCCCCUUUCUCUCUUCCGUGAUUUCUCCAACGGCGACGAACGACGAUGAGUGCCAGCGGCUGUGAGCGACGGUAAAGACAUCUCAGAUCGUGCUCAACUCAUUGGAGGGGUUCUCCGACAUUUUCCCCCUUCCGUGGCUACCGUGUUGCUCUCGCCAACGCGGGUUGCAAGGGCUAGGGUUCCACAGCAAGCGGCGGCAGGGCGAGCUUCGAUCUUCAUCCCAUCGAAGUUGGUUCUUUAGUGUGUUCUUCACCUCCAGGCGUUUCUCAGACUUCUCUGUCUUUCUGGGGUUCAGACGGGCAAAGGAAGAAGACGGCGGCGGGGGCACAUUCGGAACCGUCCAAGCUUGUCAUCAAAGGGGUCAUCGCCAGGGGCACAUUCAGAACCGUCCAUCGCGGUGUCUACGACGGCAUGGACGUCGCCGGUGAGCCAUAACCUAACAUUUCUGACAAACAAUUAGGGCUUUGCCUUCACGAUGCCAUCCUGACUGCUUGAAAUCUCCCCUUUUUGUUUUCUAAAGAUUGUUUCAUGAAUUCAAUUUCUUUAGAAUGCUUGCUUCCCUUUUUCUUUGCACUAAAGAGUAGAAUCACCAAGAUCAGUGUUCAAUCUGACUUUGAACUCUCAUCAUCUAUCAUCGUAUCUUUUCCUAGUUAAUCUAUUCUUCUACAAAAGUAUUUAUUACUUUCAAAUGGAUCAUCACUAAAUCUACCGUUGUUCAUUAACAAAAAAAAUUUCAUUGGUUUAUUACAUUUUGCAUUAAUGAUACCACGAGAUUGUUAUGUGUCUCUACUUUCACUAUGGUUUGGUAUGCUCAAGUUGGUUGCAUAUAUAAAAAGUUGCUGAUUGUGGUAAUCAGAAAGCUCCAAGGGACUUCAUUGGAGGUUGGUGUUUUUCCCGUGACAUUUGUUGGAUCAGUUGUUUUCUCACUUGUACUUUCAUGUGAACCUGGCUAAAAUAAUGAGGUGUUGGUCUUGUGAUAUCUUUUGAAGGAAGAACAAAAUGCAGUAAUGAAACCGGAAUGAGUUAUAGUUGGACAAUUGCGAUGAGUUAUAAUUUUUUUUGUGGGGUUUGGAAUAUUAUUUAUUUGCCUUUUUCUUUUCAUAUCUGCUUUACACUUUAACCAUGAUGCUUCUUAUUACACACUUUCUUAGCGCACACAACACGUUCACAUAUCUACUCCUGUUCCUCAUCCAUCAUUGAAAUUCCUUGAUCGAGUACCAAAGCAGCAUGCCAUUUGCCUUUCAUUUUCUGUGAAUGUAAUUUAGGCUAGGCUAGCUUUCCUUUAUAUAGGUUUUAGUUGAUACAAUUUCUUUAGUUUAAUUCCAUGUAAUGCUUGUUAGUUUAGUGAUUUAUGUUCCAAUGAUGUUUGUUCUUUAUUUGAAUGCAAUUAGUUUAGAUUUUGUUACAAGCUCUAGUUUUUGUUUCACUAGAUGUUUACUUGAUAUGUUUUUACUUUCCAUGCUCUAGGUUAGAUUGGAUCAAAAAUCCAGACUACGAACAAGUGAGUUUCCUACUUUCCCUUGCAAAUUGUUGACAUGCAUAUAUAGUUUGUCAUUGGAUGAUUAUCUCAUCUGUAAUAAUUCUUUUAAGAAUUCAGUCUGCUCAAAUGUUUGUUAUCUUGAAUUUGUUAGUUCUUUUAUUUUUCUAGAAGUUGUGUAAGCAUACUGAAUUGGUUUAUAUUUUGAAUCUUAUUUUUUCUCCUAUUUCAUAUUUCAUGUCUAUUAUCGGAUACUUGAAUUAUCUUUGUUCAUAUAUUCUUUUAUUUUCCCACAUAAUGGAUUUGCAUCAUUGUUGGAGUUAGUUUUGGGUGACAGAACUUUGACUGAGUCUGUAUCUCAACAUUAUGAAUCUAUAAACAACUACAUAGAACAGAUAGUCAGACCUUGCCAUGUGGACUACAGAAACAAUCUUACAUGUCAUCUGCAAGAAGUUGAGAUUGUGAAAAUUUCACAUGUCAAGAGAAUGUCAAGGAAACAAAAGGCAGUUAAUCUGCAUCAUCAUCUAAUUCAAAAAACUCAUAGGCUUAUCCUGCAAUGAUCUUGAAGCACAAACAAAGUGAUUGUUUGUGCUUUAUCUAAGUGAUUGU